GAAGUGGGGCUGCUAUCCUAACAGUCGCAGUGUUGCCAACUUAGUGAUUUUGUCACUAGAUUUAGUGACUUUUUGGUUUCCCUAGUGAGGAAAUAAGUGUAAAAGCGACCUGUG